rnacentral:rRNA from 1 species
GACGAACGCUGGCGGCGUGCUUAACACAUGCAAGUCGAACGGAAAGGCCCUGCUUUUGUGGGGUGCUCGAGUGGCGAACGGGUGAGUAACACGUGAGUAACCUGCCCUUGACUUUGGGAUAACUUCAGGAAACUGGGGCUAAUACCGGAUAGGAGCUCCUGCUGCAUGGGGGGGGUUGGAAAGUUUCGGCGGUUGGGGAUGGACUCGCGGCUUAUCAGCUUGUUGGUGGGGUAGUGGCUUACCAAGGCUUUGACGGGUAGCCGGCCUGAGAGGGUGACCGGCCACCUUGGGACUGAGAUACGGCCCAGACUCCUACGGGAGGCAGCAGUGGGGAAUAUUGCACAAUGGGCGGAAGCCUGAUGCAGCGACGCCGCGUGCGGGAUGACGGCCUUCGGGUUGUAAACCGCUUUCGCCUGUGACGAAGCGUGAGUGACGGUAAUGGGUAAAGAAGCACCGGCUAACUACGUG